AUGAACACGACGAGAAAACCACAGAUAUAUGAUUCAGGUACGUAUACUUCUUCUCUUGUCCCAAUCUUCUUCAAUUUUUCAUUUCCCCGUGAGUUUUACGCUAAUGAGAGAGAUUCACUAUUAGCGAUCUGUGAUGUUGUUGCGAUCUUGUUGCAAAUUCGUGGUGAUGAUGUAAAUAAAUGGAGUUUGAUGAUGAUGUGCAGAGGAGUUGUGAUUGGUGAUAAAGCUCGGUUCUGCAGUGUUGUUGAGAAAAGAUUAACUAUGAAAAGUGAAGAGAAGUGGAGUAGCAAAGAAUGA